rnacentral:rRNA from 1 species
AACGCGAAGAACCUUACCAGGUCUUGACAUCCUCUGACAACCCUAGAGAUAGGGCUUCUCCUUCGGGAGCAGAGUGACAGGUGGUGCAUGGUUGUCGUCAGCUCGUGUCGUGAGAUGUUGGGUUAAGUCCCGCAACGAGCGCAACCCUUGAUCUUAGUUGCCAUCAUUUAGUUGGGCACUCUAAGGUGACUGCCGGUGACAAACCGGAGGAAGGUGGGGAUGACGUCAAAUCAUCAUGCCCCUUAUGACCUGGGCUACACACGUGCUACAGUGGACGGUACAAAGAGCUGCAAGACCGCGAGGUGGAGCUAAUCUCAUAAAACCGUUCUCAGUUCGGAUUGUAGGCUGCAACUCGCCUACAUGAAGCUGGAAUCGCUAGUAAUCGCGGAUCAGCAUGCCGCGGUGAAUACGUUCCCGGGCCUUGUACACACCG